GGGGUGGCUCAUGCCUGUAAUCCCAGCACUUUGGGGGGCUGAAGCUGGUGGAUCACCUGAGGUCAGGAGUUUGAGACCAGCCUGGCCAACAUGGAGAAACCCCCAUUUCCACUAAAAAUACGAAAUUAGCUGGGCAUAGUGGCACACGCCUGUAAUCCCAGCUACUCGGGAGGCUGAAGCAGAAGAAUCGCUUGAACCCGGGAGGCGGAGGUUGUGGUGAGCCAAGAUCGCGCCAUUACACUCUAGCCUGGGCAACAAAAGUGAAAUUCUGUCUCAACAACAAAAAAAAAAAAAAAAAAAAAGGAAAAGC
rnacentral:lncRNA from 1 species